GACGCCGUGACGGGGAGGAGAACGGCAGAAGUGGAUGCAGACGAACGAGGAGGAAUCAGGACGAGCGAGCAAUGGCAGGACUGACGAAAAACAUUGCUGCGAAGACGUCCCCUCUAGACGACGGUAUAUCAUCCUGUGACGACCACAUUGAAGUCUGAAUUUGAAGUGUGAAGAUGCUUCAGCAACCACAUCGUACUAAUCCAUUGCUUUCAUUGUGCUUCUACUGUGCAUGUGUGUAAGUUGUGGGGUAUACUUGUGAUGACAUUGUGUGCUGGCGACACGGUCAGAUUUUGUCCAUGCGUGUAACGUACACCUGCAUGUUAUGCAUUGAAAAGGAUCUGCCACUUAUGAUCCUGGGACGAGUAUCAGGUCAGCUUUGUCUUGUGUGGGCUGUACCAGAUUGCUGUUCACUUCUCUAUCUGUUGGAUAUGUGACUUUCUGCAAGUUUCUGGUGUAUGGUGGCCACUUCCUUGCUUGUCA